UUUUCUUCCUCUUAUAUAAUUCCUAUUUACUGGGAGCAGCCGGGAUCCAUCCGGUGAUCCUUCUUUUCCGGGACGGUUGCUGCUUUUCCCUUUCUUGCUGGCCAAUUUUCUACUCCCUAUCGCCCCUCUGCCAUGACCCGCCUCGGAGACAUGCUUCGAUGUCCGGUUUCGACGGAGGCAGGAGAGAUCACGCUGCAAGCUUCGUCCAGAGGAGCUGCAGGCGGCCGAGGAUGUAUGGCGCCGGCGUUGCUUGGCCGGCGACGUACGUAGGGGCGGUGGGGAACAGCGUCCCGCGUCGAGGUCGGCCGGAGCUUCGCCAGGGCAAGCUGCUGGGAAGGUGCAGCCGGCAUGGUUGAUGAUGUCCGCGCUGAGAGGCGGGAGCACAGAGCCCCAUGCCACUCUUCAAAGGUUCGGCGCUGCCUGGCGAUGUUGCUUGGGUGGCGAGGUAGGGCCGUAGGGGCGGAGGGGUACGGCGGUCACGUCGAGGUCGGCCGGAGCUUCGCCGGGGAAAGUUGCUGGCAAGGUACAGCCGCCCCAAGCCGCUAUUUGGAGGUUUGGCGCUGCCUGGCUCCUCCGCGGCGCUGGCUCGACCUCCUAGCGCCGCUGUGGUCCAUCUUCUCUUGGUGGCACAAAUCCCCUUCCUUUCCCCUUGGUCCAUCGCCACGCCAUAGACGCAUAUCUGCCCAGGCUGCUCCUACUGAAUGUGAUUCUCUUAACUUAGCAUGAGUGGAUCUCUGUCCUGGGAAAUUUGUGUGUUGUUGUGUAAAGAAAUUUCAUGAAGCAUGAACUCUUUCAGUGCAAAAAGACAAGGACUAAUUCUCUGAAAAAUAGCUUUUUAAUGAGCGAUUGAUUCCUGACCUGCAGGCUGCGCGUUGGUUGAGAUGCAACAUGUCGAGGACUACCCAUUAGGUGGAGCUUUAGAAGGCGUGCUUGUUCCUGCAGACCUUGAGCGUGCUGAUGGCGAUACUCUCAGCGACGCCACGCUCCUCUUCUCCAAAAGCUCAUGCACGCUCUUCUAAGGAAGCCUUGCUCCUCCUCGGCAUAUUGGAUGCCGGCGAUGUGACUUGCCGCAGCCCCCCGUUCACCGCUGCUUCUCAUCCUGUUUAUUUGAUUUCAUUGAUCCUUCAAAUUUGUAUACGUCUGAUGACUGCUUGCUGUACUUUAGCUGCAAAGAAGUUGGAGAAAGCAUCAGUAUGGAGCACCACUAGAAAAGCUCAAGUUGUUAAUUUCUCCUCAGCAGCAGUAAGAAACAGGAGACAAGGAAGAUCCAGUUGGAGUGCGUUACAAAAUAAGCUUCACAACUUCAAGAGAAAGAAAGGUGUCUUGAUAAAGGUUUGACAAUCUGCUACCUUGAAUUUAGAGGGUUAAUUUUUGAAAUCUUCACACAAAUGAGAGAGGCAACAGAGGAAUUUGUGUGGACUACAAAUCAGCAGACGACUUCUUCUUUUACUCCAUAUGUGGAUUACACUAUUUUCAACUUUUCAUGCAUAACUUUUAUGGAGCUAGAGUCGCUAUUUUAGAGAUUUUAAUAUAGAUCUAUUUUGUAGACAACCUGGGCGAAAACGGUACAAGCCAUAUGUUUGACUUGACACUAAAACCUAUCGUAUUGAUGCAGGCAAUCUACUUGCCUUGAUAGUAAAAUCUUCGCAGUUUGCUUGGCCCAAACCUUCCAUAAUCUUACUUUUCUGCAAAUUGACAAGGUUAAACAUAUGAGAAGUACAGUGAAUCACUAAUGCUAAGCUUGGUUGCACAAGAUAUGAGAAGCUUAGCGCUGUGUUAGGACUGGGUGUUGAAUAUGAGAAGUACAUGAUGCAAGUACAGUUUUAUUUUUGCUGAACAGAAACACUUGGGAAGAGCGAAUUAGUUAAAUACAGAAGGAACAAGUAGGACUUUAUAUUCGAAUCGUAUUGUAAGCAUUGUGAGGUGAUUUUUUCAUAGCAUGUGGUACGUUACUGGAGAAAGAAAAUAGUGCCUCUACAGUACAUUGGAUUAUUCUUAUAUUGAUUCCAUUAUUCAAAGUCAUAACAUCAUGGUAAUCCUUUAGGCAAGUUCUCACCUUUUGUUUGAUAACAUUUUUCCUUCUAAGUAGUUAAAUAAUUAUCUGAGUCUUCUAACGGUUGAAAUACAUGGUUCUUCCUGUAGAUCAUGUGAGAUAUAACUUAUCUUAGUAAAUGCAAACCUAAGUGAACAUACUCUACUACCCAGGUUACUUUUGAAAUACUCUGCUCUUUGCAGUUUAAGUGACAUGUUAUUCCAGGGAGAAAUGGUGCCUAGCUGCUAUACCCCUAUACAUAACACUCCUAAAAGAGUCAUCAAGUUCCUGUGUCCACAUAAGAAUGUCAGAAACUCAGUAUUGAUGAUACUGACUACAAUAUGCUAAUGCAGGUGAAAGGCUAGCAAUGUCUGAGUAGUGAGUCCUACCAGCAACUGCACCACGAAGCGGCGCAUCCGGCAAUUAACAAUGCUACCACCCAGCAAGACACGACAAUCCCCGCAAGAGCAAUUGUGACGGUUCAGUGCAGUACAAUCCCUGUAAGAGAGUCCUAUAACCCGAACAUUGGUAUUUUGGAGAAUUGUUUGGUUACAAACAUGUACCACAUGCCUCACAUGGUAUAACUGCAAAGGAGAAGUGCUGGGCGAAUCAGUGCACGGUGUAAAAUCUUAUAUACAUAGCACUCCUAAAAGAGUCAUCAAGGUGUAAAAUCUUAUAUGUGAUUAAGUAUGGUCAAUGCAACUUCAUGUUUUUUCUUGAAAAAGUUCUUCUCUCGCUGGGCUGCUUCCAAGUUUUAGUAUAUUUAGUUCCCCUUUUCAGAUUGAGAAGUUGAGAUAUGAGAAUCCACUAGCUAGGAGAUUGAGCUUUGAUCAUUGCCUAUGAAUAACCCUUCCAUACCUUCAAAUCCGUCCAGGCAUUCAUUAAACUAAGUAAGCAGAUAUUAUUUAUUUCCCACUGAAAGUACUGUUUAGAGUGUUUCCACUCAUUAGUCGUGAGAUUCAUGUUUAAUCUCAAGUAUUUUCUUCAUGUUGCAUUUUUUCUUACUUUUUUUUGUUAGAAAAUACAACAUCAUAGUAAAAAAAUUGAGAACUUGCAUGACUUUGACUCAUUCUCUUUAUUAUAGUGAGACCUGACAAGGUUAGGUUGCACGUGCAGCUGUCCGAAUUAGAACACAAGUUAGAUAACAAAUUAGAGCUGCAAUUUUAAUUAACAAGAUGUCUUGCUCAGUGCAGGUUUGUAUUGCCAUUUUAAUUACCAACAGUCUUGUAUUAAUUUCUAUUUUUAUUAACAUGUGUCUUGCUCAAUGCAGGGACAGUCUUCUGGUAACUAAUAUCACAUUGGUGCUUUGGUUCGGAUUGGGAGACACAUCAUCUCACAGAUAUAACUCAGCUCUCAGCAUGUGGGGUGAACCAAAUUCUCAGUGAAUUGGAUUUUUCCAUUCGAAGGGAAUCGUACAAGGUCGGCAGUACCCCCCUAUAAAUACUCCGCCAGUAUGAAAAGUUCUUAAUGUUAGUUGAGUACCCGGCUCGGCGGCUCCCCAAUUGAUUGACCCGAUGGUAGCUGACAAAAUGUUUAUUCUUCAGCUGGAGUAUAUUAUAAAUUGUACUUUCUCUGAUCUUUGGUAGCAGUUCAUGUUAUAGAAGGGUGAAAUUAAUCCUGUAAAAUUUUGUAACCUGAUGCUAUAAUUAUUUCGAUUCAGCUAUGGUGCGUAAAUUUAUCAAUUUUUAUG